GACAGAGGGUGCAAACGUUGUUCGGAAUUACUGGGCGUAAAGCGCGUGUAGGCUGCUCGGAAAGUCGGAUGUGAAAGCCCUGGGCUUAACCUAGGAAGUGCAUUCGAAACUUCCGAGCUGGAGUCCUGGAGAGGAAGGCGGAAUUCUCGGUGUAGAGGUGAAAUUCGUAGAUAUCGAGAGGAACACCGGUGGCGAAGGCGGCCUUCUGGACAGUGACUGACGCUGAGACGGCGAAAGCGUGGGGAGCGAACGAGGAAG
rnacentral:rRNA from 1 species